rnacentral:rRNA from 1 species
UACAGAGGUCUCAAGCGUUGUUCGGAUUCAUUGGGCGUAAAGGGUGCGUAGGUGGCGAGGCAAGUCAGAUGUGAAAUCCCGGGGCUCAACCCCGGAACUGCAUUUGAAACUGCCUUGCUCGAGUACUGGAGAGGAGACUGGAAUUUACGGUGUAGCGGUGAAAUGCGUAGAUAUCGUAAGGAAGACCAGUGGCGAAGGCGGGUCUCUGGACAGUUCCUGACGCUGAGGCACGAAGGCCAGGGGAGCAAACGGG